rnacentral:rRNA from 1 species
AUCGAACGCUGGCGGCAGGCUUAACACAUGCAAGUCGAACGAGUGGCGGACGGGUGAGUAAUGCUUGGGAAUCUGGCUUAUGGAGGGGGAUAACUACGGGAAACUGUAGCUAAUACCGCGUACCAUCGGAUGAGCCCACGUGGGCUUAGGUAGUUGGUGAGGUAAAGGCGAACCCAGCCGACGAUUUCUAUCUGGUCUGAGAGGAUGACCAGCCACACUGGGACGGAGACACGUCCCAGACUCCUACGGGAGGCAGUAGUGGGGAAUAUUUCGCAAUGGGGGCAACCUGACGCAGCCAUGCCGCGUGAAGGAAGAAGGCCUUCGGGGUGUAAAGUUCUUUCGGUAGCGAGGCGUUAACUACAGAAGAAGCACCGGCUAACUCCGUGCCAGCCGCCGCGGUAAUUC